rnacentral:tRNA from 1 species
GAGAAAGCUUGCAAGGACUGCUAAUCCAUGCCUCCGUAUUAAUAAAACGGCUAUCUCA